rnacentral:rRNA from 1 species
GACGAACGCUGGCGGCGUGCUUAACACAUGCAAGUCGAACGGAAAGGCCCUGCUUUUGUGGGUUGCUCGAUUGGCGAACGGGUGAGUAACACGUGAGUAACCUGCCCUUGACUUUGGGAUAACUUCAGGAAACUGGGGCGAAUACCGGAUAUGAGCUCCUGCUGCAUGGUGGGGGUUGGAAAGUUUCGGCGGUGGGGGAUGGACUCGCGGCUUAUCAGCUUGUUGGUGGGGUAGUGGCUGACCAAGGCUUUGACGGGUAGCCGGCCUGAGAGGGUGACCGGGCACAUGGGGACUGAGAUACGGACCAGACUGCUACGGGAGGCAGUAGUGGGGAAUCUUGCACAAUGGGCGGACGCCUGAUGCAGCAACGCCGCGUGCGGGAUGCCGGCCUUCGGGUUGUAAACCGCUUUCGCCUGUGCCGAAGCGUGAGUGACGGUAAUGGGUCAAGAAGCCCCGGCUAACUACGUG